rnacentral:rRNA from 1 species
UACGUAGGCAGCAAGCGUUGUUCGGAGUUACUGGGCGUAAAGAGUGCGUAGGUGGUUUUCUAAGUUCGGUGUGAAAUCUCCCGGCUCAACCGGGAGGGUGCGCCGAAAACUGGAAGACUCGAGUGCGGGAGAGGAGAGCGGAAUUCCUGGUGUAGCGGUGAAAUGCGUAGAUAUCAGGAGGAACACCUGUGGUGCAGACGGCUCUCUGGACCGCCACUGACACUGAGGCACGAAAGCGUGGGGAGCAAACAGGAUUAGAUACCCUGGUAGUCCACGCCCUAAACGAUGCAUACUUGGUGUGGGUCAUUCAGUUGAUCCGUGCCGGAGCUAACGCGUUAAGUAUGCCGCCUGGGGAGUACGGUCGCAAGGCUG